CUAAUAAAAUUGAGAAUGGAAAUGGGGAAUGUGUCAAAGAGACAAUAACCCGACCAUAGAAAAAACAACAGCAGAAGGUCACCAACAGGUCUUCAAUGUAGCGAGAAAUUCCCGCACCUGGAGGCGUCCUUCAACUGGCCCCUAAACAAAUAUAUACUAGUUCAGUGAUAAUGAACGCCAUACUACAUGUACUAAUUUCCAAAUUGUACACAAUGAAUACUUUUAAGGGGUCUUCCAUAAUUGUCAACCAUUUUCCAAAGUGUACAAAACGUACACUUGGGUGGAGGGGGUUAAAAAAUAAACAUUUUUACAGUACGCUUUUGAAAUUUUUUUAAAAAUAAAACAGUCUGAUAUGUUUCAGUUUAUUUUCUAUGCAAAUUUUUGUAUUAGACUAAACACACAUGCUAAACGUUAAUAGACAGGAUCUUCUUUUUAUUAAAAAUGAUUGAUUCUUGAAUUGAAAUCUAAAAAUGGUUGAUGUACACUAUUUGAGAGAGGGUUGGAAAAAGUGUAUGUUUUGUACACUUUGGAAAAUGGUUGACAAUUAUGGAUGACCCUUAACAUAUUUCAAUUUUUUAUAAACUCUUCAAUACACUUAUUAACCAUGUUUACCUUGACCCAAAACUUGUAAAUUUUCGUAUCAAUAUAUG
rnacentral:lncRNA from 1 species